rnacentral:rRNA from 1 species
CGAGCCCAACCUCCCACCCGUGUUUACUGUACCUUAGUUGCUUCGGCGGGCCCGCCAUUCAUGGCCGCCGGGGGCUCUCAGCCCCGGGCCCGCGCCCGCCGGAGACACCACGAACUCUGUCUGAUCUAGUGAAGUCUGAGUUGAUUGUAUCGCAAUCAGUUAAAACUUUCAACAAUGGAUCUCUUGGUUCCGGCAUCGAUGAAGAACGCAGCGAAAUGCGAUAACUAGUGUGAAUUGCAGAAUUCCGUGAAUCAUCGAGUCUUUGAACGCACAUUGCGCCCCCUGGUAUUCCGGGGGGCAUGCCUGUCCGAGCGUCAUUGCUGCCCAUCAAGCACGGCUUGUGUGUUGGGUCGUCGUCCCCUCUCCGGGGGGGACGGGCCCCAAAGGCAGCGGCGGCACCGCGUCCGAUCCUCGAGCGUAUGGGGCUUUGUCACCCGCUCUGUAGGCCCGGCCGGCGCUUGCCGAACGCAAAUCAAUCUUUUCCAGGAC